CACGUAGGGUGCGAGCGUUUGUCCGGAAUUAUUGGGCGUAAAGAGCUCGUAGGCGGUGUGUCGCGUCGGCCGUGAAAACCUGCAGCUUAACUGUGGGCUUGCGGUCGAUACGGGCAUCACUGGAGUUCGGCAGGGGAGACUGGAAUUCCUGGUGUAGCGGUGAAAUGCGCAGAUAUCAGGAGGAACACCGAUGGCGAAGGCAGGUCUCUGGGCCACUACUGACGCUGAGAAGCGAAAGCAUGGGGAGCGAUCCGG
rnacentral:rRNA from 1 species